GUGAGGAAUAUUGGCCAAUGGGCGAGAGCCUGAACCAGCCAAGUCGCGUGAAGGAAGAAGGAUCUAUGGUUCGUAAACUUCUUUUGCAGGGGAAUAAAGUGCAGGACGUGUCCUGUUUUGUAUGUACCCUGAGAAUAAGGAUCGGCUAACUCCGUGUCAGCAGCCGCGGUAAUACGGAGGAUCCGAGCGUUAUCCGGAUUUAUUGGGUUUAAAGGGUGCGUAGGUGGUUUGAUAAGUCAGCGGUGAAAGUUUGCAGCUUAACUGUAAAAAUGCCGUUGAAACUGUCGGACUUGAGUGUAAAUGAGGUAGGCGGAAUGCGUGGUGUAGCGGUGAAAUGCAUAGAUAUCACGCAGAACUCCGAUUGCGAAGGCAGCUUACUAAGCUACAACUAACACUGAAGCACGAAAGCGUGGGGAUCAAACAGGAUUAGAAACCCCUGUAGUCC
rnacentral:rRNA from 1 species